UACGUAGGGGGCGAGCGUUGUCCGGAAUUACUGGGUGUAAAGGGCGUGUAGGCGGGAUAUCAAGUUAUUGGUAAAAACCCGGGGCUUAACCUCGGGCUUGCCGAUAAAACUGGUAUUCUUGAGUGCAGGAGAGGGAAGUGGAAUUCCCGGAGUAGCGGUGACAUGCGUAGAUACCGGGAGGAACACCAGUGGCGAAGGCGGCUUCCUGGCCUGCAACUGACGCUGAGGCGCGAAAGCUGGGGUAGCGAAC
rnacentral:rRNA from 1 species